rnacentral:rRNA from 1 species
UUAAGCGACUAAGCGUACACGGUGGAUGCCCUGGCAGUCAGAGGCGAUGAAGGACGUGCUAAUCUGCGAUAAGCGUCGGUAAGGUGAUAUGAACCGUUAUAACCGGCGAUUUCCGAAUGGGGAAACCCAGUGUGUUUCGACACACUAUCAUUAACUGAAUCCAUAGGUUAAUGAGGCGAACCGGGGGAACUGAAACAUCUAAGUACCCCGAGGAAAAGAAAUCAACCGAGAUUCCCCCAGUAGCGGCGAGCGAACGGGGAGCAGCCCAGAGCCUGAAUCAGUGUGUGUGUUAGUGGAAGCGUCUGGAAAGGCGCGCGAUACAGGGUGACAGCCCCGUACACAAAAAUGCACAUGCUGUGAGCUCGAUGAGUAGGGCGGGACACGUGGUAUCCUGUCUGAAUAUGGGGGGACCAUCCUCCAAGGCUAAAUACUCCUGACUGACCGAUAGUGAACCAGUACCGUGAGGGAAAGGCGAAAAGAACCCCGGCGAGGGGAGUGAAAAAGAACCUGAAACCGUGUACGUACAAGCAGUGGGAGCACGCUUCGGCGUGUGACUGCGUACCUUUUGUAUAAUGGGUCAGCGACUUAUAUUCUGUAGCAAGGUUAACCGAAUAGGGGAGCCGAAGGGAAACCGAGUCUUAACUGGGCGUUAAGUUGCAGGGUAUAGACCCGAAACCCGGUGAUCUAGCCAUGGGCAGGUUGAAGGUUGGGUAACACUAACUGGAGGACCGAACCGACUAAUGUUGAAAAAUUAGCGGAUGACUUGUGGCUGGGGGUGAAAGGCCAAUCAAACCGGGAGAUAGCUGGUUCUCCCCGAAAGCUAUUUAGGUAGCGCCUCGUGAAUUCAUCUCCGGGGGUAGAGCACUGUUUCGGCAAGGGGGUCAUCCCGACUUACCAACCCGAUGCAAACUGCGAAUACCGGAGAAUGUUAUCACGGGAGACACACGGCGGGUGCUAACGUCCGUCGUGAAGAGGGAAACAACCCAGACCGCCAGCUAAGGUCCCAAAGUCAUGGUUAAGUGGGAAACGAUGUGGGAAGGCCCAGACAGCCAGGAUGUUGGCUUAGAAGCAGCCAUCAUUUAAAGAAAGCGUAAUAGCUCACUGGUCGAGUCGGCCUGCGCGGAAGAUGUAACGGGGCUAAACCAUGCACCGAAGCUGCGGCAGCGACGCUGAUGCGUUGUUGGGUAGGGGAGCGUUCUGUAAGCCUGCGAAGGUGUGCUGUGAGGCAUGCUGGAGGUAUCAGAAGUGCGAAUGCUGACAUAAGUAACGAUAAAGCGGGUGAAAAGCCCGCUCGCCGGAAGACCAAGGGUUCCUGUCCAACGUUAAUCGGGGCAGGGUGAGUCGACCCCUAAGGCGAGGCCGAAAGGCGUAGUCGAUGGGAAACAGGUUAAUAUUCCUGUACUUGGUGUUACUGCGAAGGGGGGACGGAGAAGGCUAUGUUGGCCGGGCGACGGUUGUCCCGGUUUAAGCGUGUAGGCUGGUUUUCCAGGCAAAUCCGGAAAAUCAAGGCUGAGGCGUGAUGACGAGGCACUACGGUGCUGAAGCAACAAAUGCCCUGCUUCCAGGAAAAGCCUCUAAGCAUCAGGUAACAUCAAAUCGUACCCCAAACCGACACAGGUGGUCAGGUAGAGAAUACCAAGGCGCUUGAGAGAACUCGGGUGAAGGAACUAGGCAAAAUGGUGCCGUAACUUCGGGAGAAGGCACGCUGAUAUGUAGGUGAAGCGACUUGCUCGUGGAGCUGAAAUCAGUCGAAGAUACCAGCUGGCUGCAACUGUUUAUUAAAAACACAGCACUGUGCAAACACGAAAGUGGACGUAUACGGUGUGACGCCUGCCCGGUGCCGGAAGGUUAAUUGAUGGGGUCAGCGCAAGCGAAGCUCUUGAUCGAAGCCCCGGUAAACGGCGGCCGUAACUAUAACGGUCCUAAGGUAGCGAAAUUCCUUGUCGGGUAAGUUCCGACCUGCACGAAUGGCGUAAUGAUGGCCAGGCUGUCUCCACCCGAGACUCAGUGAAAUUGAACUCGCUGUGAAGAUGCAGUGUACCCGCGGCAAGACGGAAAGACCCCGUGAACCUUUACUAUAGCUUGACACUGAACAUUGAGCCUUGAUGUGUAGGAUAGGUGGGAGGCUUUGAAGUGUGGACGCCAGUCUGCAUGGAGCCGACCUUGAAAUACCACCCUUUAAUGUUUGAUGUUCUAACGUUGACCCGUAAUCCGGGUUGCGGACAGUGUCUGGUGGGUAGUUUGACUGGGGCGGUCUCCUCCUAAAGAGUAACGGAGGAGCACGAAGGUUGGCUAAUCCUGGUCGGACAUCAGGAGGUUAGUGCAAUGGCAUAAGCCAGCUUGACUGCGAGCGUGACGGCGCGAGCAGGUGCGAAAGCAGGUCAUAGUGAUCCGGUGGUUCUGAAUGGAAGGGCCAUCGCUCAACGGAUAAAAGGUACUCCGGGGAUAACAGGCUGAUACCGCCCAAGAGUUCAUAUCGACGGCGGUGUUUGGCACCUCGAUGUCGGCUCAUCACAUCCUGGGGCUGAAGUAGGUCCCAAGGGUAUGGCUGUUCGCCAUUUAAAGUGGUACGCGAGCUGGGUUUAGAACGUCGUGAGACAGUUCGGUCCCUAUCUGCCGUGGGCGCUGGAGAACUGAGGGGGGCUGCUCCUAGUACGAGAGGACCGGAGUGGACGCAUCACUGGUGUUCGGGUUGUCAUGCCAAUGGCACUGCCCGGUAGCUAAAUGCGGAAGAGAUAAGUGCUGAAAGCAUCUAAGCACGAAACUUGCCCCGAGAUGAGUUCUCCCUGACUCCUUGAGAGUCCUGAAGGAACGUUGAAGACGACGACGUUGAUAGGCCGGGUGUGUAAGCGCAGCGAUGCGUUGAGCUAACCGGUACUAAUGAACCGUGAGGCUUAACCUU